CUGCAUACAGUUGUCUUUAAAUGCUCUGCAUCUCCAAAUUACACAAAAACUCCCAUUUGAAAAGAAACGCAGCACAACACACAAUAUCUGCUGGGAUGUGAGAGCAUGACUACGGUUGUAGUUGGUAUUGUUGGAACUGUUGG